GCGCUCCGCGCGCUCCCUCACGCAGAGCGGGGUCUACUGCAAACACCGGGCCCUGCGCAGAUUUAAAACUUCCUUUUACGACAACGUGUGGAAAACAGCUGAGGUCCACAGGAGCAGCAACUGGCGGUUUCUUUUGAUGUGACUGAGCACUGGAUGCGGCUGCCCAGAGGUUGGAGCCUCUCUCACUGGAGCUAUUCCACAACAAUCCUGUGCCAUGUGCCUCUGGGAUGGCCCUGCUUGAGCAGGGAGAUUACACCAGACGACCCCACUGAGGUCCCUCCCAACCCAAACCAUUCUUGGACUCAGUCUCCUUGUCACUGUUGGUCUCUGCAUCAGAGCCAUCCUCUUCCUGGUCUGAGAGAAGGCAAAGAUCUUCAUCCUCAGCAUCCCUUGCAAUGGAUUUCUUGAAGAAAUCGAGAACUGCAUUGUUCUGGAGCUCU